AUAAAAAUGUUUCGGUUCAGAGGGCAAUAUAUCAAAUCGUAAAUCGUUAAGGUGGGAGGUUCGAACUUCUGUGAUCUCAAACUUUUGUUUUUUUUAAAUAUCAAAAGAAAUUUACAAAACUCCGUCGUUUUACAGUUUUAACGGAAUCAAUUAACGUUGACUAACUCCACUAAAUUAGUCCGUCAGUUGACUUAACGACAUGCCUUAUUUGGCAAAGUCAAUAAAAAUUAACGAUUUAAUUAGAAAGUCAAUGAAAGUUGAAAAUU
rnacentral:sRNA from 1 species